AUUGAACGCUGGCGGCAUGCCUCACACAUGCAAGUCGAACGGCAGCGCGGACUUCGGUCUGGCGGCGAGUGGCGAACGGGUGAGUAAUACAUCGGAACGUACCCUGUUGUGGGGGAUAACUAGUCGAAAGAUUAGCUAAUACCGCAUACGACCUGAGGGUGAAAGUGGGGGACCGCAAGGCCUCACGCAGCAGGAGCGGCCGAUGUCUGAUUAGCUAGUUGGUGGGGUAAAGGCCGACCAAGGCGACGAUCAGUAGCUGGUCUGAGAGGACGAUCAGCCACACUGGGACUGAGACACGGCCCAGACUCCUACGGGAGGCAGCAGUGGGGAAUUUUGGACAAUGGGGGCAACCCUGAUCCAGCAAUGCCGCGUGUGUGAAGAAGGCCUUCGGGUUGUAAAGCACUUUUGUCCGGAAAGAAAUCGCGCUGGUUAAUACCUGGCGUGGAUGACGGUACCGGAAGAAUAAGCACCGGCUAACUAUGUGCCAGCAGCCGCCGUAA
rnacentral:rRNA from 1 species